UACGGAGGGUGUGGGCGUUGUCCGGAAUCACUGGGCGUAAAGGGCGCGUAGGCGGCGCGGAUAGUCGGCGGUGAAAGCCCGGAGCUCAACUCCGGGUCGGCCGUCGAUACUUCCGGGCUUGAGCACUGUAGAGGCAGAUGGAAUUCCGGGUGUAGCGGUGGAAUGCGUAGAGAUCCGGAAGAACACCGGUGGCGAAGGCGGUCUGCUGGGCAGUUGCUGACGCUGAUGCGCGACAGCGUGGGGAGCAAACGAGGAUAGAGUACCUUA
rnacentral:rRNA from 1 species